AAGCCAUGAUGAAGACACCUUCUGAGCAGUUCUUUGAAUCUUUCCCAAGCCUCAUACAAACUCUCAUCUUUAAGUUAAUGGAAAGAAGUAAUCUCAUUCUGUAAUUUU
rfam:Citrus clementina cultivar Clemenules unplaced genomic scaffold scaffold_3, whole genome shotgun sequence.